rnacentral:tRNA from 1 species
GGGGAUGUAGCUCAGCUGGGAGAGCGUCGCGUUCGCAAUGCGAAGGUCAGGAGUUCGAUCCUCCUCAUCUCCACCA